UCAAGAAUCUUCCACAAUGGCCGAAAGGCUGAUGGAGCGACGCCGCGUGUAUGAAGAAGUCCCUCGGGAUGUAAAGUACUUUUUUUAGGGAGGAAACAAUGACAGUACCUAAAGAAUAAGGGGCUGCUAACUUCGUGCCAGCAGCAGCGGUAAUACGAAGGCCCCGAGCGUUAUCCGGAUUAAUUGGGCGUAAAGGGUGUGUAGGUGGUUUGUCGCAUCCUCUGUUAAAUCUGCGGGCUCAACCCGUAGGCUGCGGAGGAGAUGGACAGACUAGAGUGCGGGAGAGGUAAGCGGAAUUGCUGGUGUAGGGGUUAAAUCCGUUAAUAUCAGCAGGAACACCAAAUGCGUAGGCAGCUUACUGGAACGCCACUGACACUGAAACACGAAAGCGUGGGGAGCG
rnacentral:rRNA from 1 species